rnacentral:misc_RNA from 1 species
ACAGGUGCGCUUGCAUGGCAGGUCUCCCAAAAUUCUUAAUAAAAUGAUUUCUUUUCGUGUUUUUGAGGGGAGAUCGCAUGGGGAUUACCCGGGUUCUCCUCUCUCCAGUGUGUAGUUUGUCCCGCUUUGUUAUUUUUACUCGCCUUCAAAAAUCCAAUCCGCAACUGAUACCAGAGCUUUCUUGAGGAGAUCAACGAUCCGCUUCUUUCUGGGUUUCGCUCUAAAGUUUUCACUUGUUGUGGAGUUCAUGGAAAUCGAGUUACCUUUUUUUCAAGGUAAAAGAAAUUGCAUACAAUCUUUAUAGGAUCUACCUUUUUAACCGAACCAAAGAAAUCAUUUACCAUGUGAAUUCGUGAAUUGUCCUGAUUCUGCAAAUUGACGAAUACAAUUUAUCAAUUGAUCCUGCAAGAAUGGCUAUGUAUCUGCCGUUACUGUUAUUUUUUAACCUCACUGGAAGGCAAUGCAAAUCAUCAUAGUGUUCCAUCCAAGCAUUUGCGAUUCUUUAAAGAACAUAUUUUUGUUCGAUGUUCUUGAUUAUCAAAUCAUUGAUAGCUGGAAAUAACAUGAAAAUUUAUCCGAUGAUAAUUUGCUGGUUGAAUUUCUGAUAUAGGGUCUCAUAGGCAUUGUUAUUGUUUGCUUUUACAAAAGUACAUAAUUAUGAUGAAAAUGCUGUGCGUUGUACCAAAUUCUCCUAUAAUGCAUUAUACGUUCUCGAGGUUGUUGGGAACUAGUUUACAAUUUACAAUUCGAUGUUAUAGUAUUUUGCCAUGGUCAUGUUAUGCAAAUGUGCUCGGUCACUUGGCCUGGAAAUCUUUUGGCAUUUGGAGGGUGCUUCAAAGUUUGAUCGUUUGCUUGCACGUGGGCUUGAUUGCUAGUUGGAUUCAUAAUGAUUUCUUUUGAGGUCAGGUGAAAGCUCAGGAUCCUCAAGGUGAUGAAUCAAGUGCUAAUUUUUUACACUUUCUGAACCUAAAAGUGAAGUAUUACCAAGGGCAUUUGAGCCAUGAUUUAUACGUUUUUACUCGUUAUGAUGUCUAUCUUUAAUCUUUCGGUGCGUUUGAACCCUAGGGGCAAUUUAAAGUUUUCAUCGCCUUUGGCUGAUAAUUACUAUAAUUAUAAUUCCUCAUUUGCAGUUUUUGUAAAAUUUUAUCCUUUUCUUGCCAUCUGUAAAAAGCUUGUGGUGGUGCACGGAUAGAACUGUGCAUGGGGUUAUCAAUCUCCUUUGGCAGGUUUAUUAACGUUAUUUUCAACUUGAAUAUGUUUAAAUGUCUAGAAUUGGUUCUGUUGGUGGAGUGAUAUUAGAAAGUUCUGUUUCAUAAAGUGAUAUGGGGGUACUAAGAAUUUUUAAUUCUAUUUAUGUAUGAAUUAAAGGUUAUAGAAAAUAAACUAAUAUUUUCAAUUAUAAAAUUAAGAGAAUCAUAUAAAUUGCUUUUGUUUUAGUCAGUAGUAAUAUAUCUAAUGUAAUUCUUGUUAUAUCAAUGGUUGGUUAAAAUGUUAUGGGAGUAAUCUUAUUGCAAAGCAGAAAAUGAAAUUAAAGUAAAAGAUUUUGGUGUUACUAAUUACUAUAUUGAAUAAUUGUUGGUUAUAUAUUGUGAAAUGUUGGCUUUUUUUUUCUUGAGUUAUUAGUCUUAUUUUAUGGUGAAUAUUAUUUUAAAUUUAGUAGUGUUAAUUUUUGCAAUGAGUUAAUUAAAAGAAAAUUUAUUCAAACACAAAAUGUAGUGAGUUUAGUCUGAAACUUUUGGGUGUUUAAAGCGAUUACGUGUUGGAAAGAUCUGUGAGCUCAAAAUGGUAGAGCGCUCGAUCCCUAUUGGGGUUUAGGGGGGGUUGGUGGAUCAAGUCCACUCAGAUCUAAUUUAUUAUUAAUCUUAUGUUUUGAAUUUCCAUUCCAAUGUAUACGUCUUUACAUUAUGAAAGAGUAAUAAAGUUGUAUCAACUUCUUUAACAAAAGAGAAUUAAUUAAAACUUAGAAUCACACACAGAUCUGCCUUAAAUGGAUGCCCCGUAACACUCGGCAAAAUAAAUCAAAAAGCCCAACCUGAUUUGGUCGCUACCAAACUCAGAAAAAUAUAAUGUACACUAAGAUUAUUUUAAUUAAUUAAUUUAUUUAUUGUUUUUAACUUUCAUCUUCUACUAUAAGAUAGAGAUUGUUUCUAUCAUUUAAAGGUGGCCAUCUCUAUUUUGAGAAUGGGAAGCAUGGCUUUUGCCUCUCGUGCUCCAUCUUAAUACUGUGUAGUUUCUUGCUGACCUUCACAGAGAAUAAGUGGGUUUUGCUAUGAAGUUAAGAUGUAGAGCAUGGUUGUCUUAAUACGACACCGAUUUAGUUGAAAAAUCAUAUUAGUGAGCAUUUUGGUUUAGAAUAAGAAUUUUAUUUUUAUAGCAUUUGGAAUUGAUUUGAUUAAUCGAAUUAAAUUUAAAUAAAAUGGUUCCCGAGCUUUUUUUUCUUAAAAAAAAAAAAACAAACUAAUACUUAUUGGCAAUUUAAAUUGCAACUGACUCGAUUAAUUCAGCCAUAUUUAAAUCUGCUGCCUCAUGCUACUUUAAAAAAGAAGAAAUCUAUUUGGCAAUGAGAAUUUUAGUUUUAUUAAUUUGUGAUUUGAAUAAUUAAUGGUGUUAAUAAUUUGUUUUAUUAAUAUGUUCACUUUAAAAUUAUUAAAUAAUUUUUUAUCAUAAAAAAUAUAAAAUUUAACUUAUUUUAUUUUAGUAAGUAUUCAUAAAAAGUUAAAUUAUUAGUUAUAAUAAUAUGCUAUUAUUAUCAAGAAAUUGUUGAU